GUGAGUCAUCGGAUCUUUGAACGCACCUUGCGCCCUUUGGUAUUCCGAAGGGCAUGCCUGUUCGAGCGUCAUUAUCACCACUCAAACCCCGUGCUUGGUGUUGGACGGGUUGGUCGGGGCUUCUUUCCUCGACCCCUCCUAAAGACAAUGACGGCGGCCUGUGGUUCCCCCGGUACACUGAGCUUCUUAACAGAGCAUGUACCGGACGAGGGCGCCCGGGCCACGGUCCUCUCCUUUAACCAGGAAUUUUUUCUUCAAGGUUGACCUCGGAUCAGGUAGGAAUACGCGCUGAACAUAAGCAUAUCAAUAAGCGGAGG
rnacentral:rRNA from 1 species